GACGAAGGUGGCGAGCGUUGUUCGGAAUCACUGGGCCUAAAGCGCACGUAGGCGGCGGCGUAAGUUGGAUGUGAAAUCCCCCGGCCCAACCGGGGAACUGCGUCCAGUACUGCGUUGCUUGAGGAUCCAAGGGGUGCAUGGAAUUCCCGGUGGAGCGGUGAAAUGCGUUGAUAUCGGGAGGAACUCCGGCGGCGAAAGCGGUGCACUGGUGGAUUACUGACGCUGAGGUGCGAAAGCCAGGGGAGCAAACGGG
rnacentral:rRNA from 1 species